rnacentral:sRNA from 1 species
AUGUGGUAGUGAGCUGAUCAUCCACUUUCUUCUAAAAUAAAGAGAAAAAAAUGGCCAGUAUUCAUCCUGUCCUUCUCUUUCCCCAUUCCUUGAUAACUCUCUUGUCUUUACUGGGAGGCUGGAGAGUCACAGUCUAGUAGAAGAAAGUUCCUAUUGAUC